CAAACAGUUUUACAUAUUUAAAAAUAUACAUACUUAAAAUUAACAUAUUACUAAACCUACAGUUCCCUAAAUAUGCAUAUAAAACAAAAAAGUAUACGGUAUACUGACACUUAUAAACGUAAGUUUUAUAAACGUUAAAAAAAACAAAGUAAAAUGAACGCAACACCACCCGUAUCCCUCAAACUAUGCAACGAACGCACAUUUUCUAAGUUUGCUGGAUGACAGGCACCGGUUGGUUACGUUCGGGAGCGAGCGGUCGUGUUACGCAACGAGAUAAGUACUAAAAUGCUAUAGUGUAAAUUAACAUAAGUCGGAAUCUAAAUGAUCCGGAGACCUAAAAAAGAAACAAUUGUUCAAUACAGGUCGCAGUGUUUGUAUAAUGCGAUGUGUUUACUUUUUGAUAAAUACUUAUUAUUAGUAUUUAUAUGACGGCUUGCGAGAACCCCGGAUUUUGCAAUGUAAACUCCACGCACCAAACGUGGUGUAUACUGUAGAUAAUAACAUCUAUAAUUAUAAUUGUAUGAAUCAAGGACAGUGAUGAUGAUGAUAUGAUCGUCAUCUAUAGCAAGAUAUUAAAUUCUUCAUCAUAAAAAAAAAUAAAUAUGAAUGGAUGGCGUGAAGGCCAGAAACUUUAGGUCUCCUGACUCCAUUUAAUGACGUAACAAAACUCAGGACACAACAACGGCGCACUCGCUGCUAUGAGGACUUAUAUUACUAAUAUAAUAAGUACACGAAUAAUAGAAAGUAGCAAACAACCAGUUAAGCAAUACAAAAGAAUAAUCAAAAAUUACAAAAAAACAAUUACCUACACUAUUUUAGUCAACAUUAGCACAUAUAAGGUCAGUGAUGUGGUUUUUAAAUUUUAUUAACGAUAUAUUAAAUAAUUCUAUACUACCUAAUUGUCUAUUAUAUGAGGCACAUGCUCUCUUUAUAAAACUAUUACUGCCAUAGCCAGUUUUACUUGAUUUUAUGGCGAAAAGAUAUUUUUUACGGCUUGUUCUUUCCUGUUUACGCGGUACUCGAAAAUAAAUUUGUUCCAAUAGAACAGGGGCGUCAACCAUAUUAUGCAAUAUUUUAAACAAAUACGUGAUAUCAGUGAUAUCGCGACGUUGUCUCAAGGUGCUUAUUUUAUGAAAUACAAGGGAAGAUUCAUAAUCUAUGUGUUGAUUACCGGUUCUAUAAUCUAAGGACUUUACAAACUUUCUUUGUAACUUUUCAAUUUUAUCUUGAUGGACCCGUUGGUGAGGAUUCCAAACCGGACUUGCGAAUUCAAGUCUACUUCGCACGUAACUGUUAAAUAACAGUUUAUAAGUAGAAGCAUUUUUAAAAGGUUUUCCCACACGCAAUAUGAAACCUAAAAAUUUGUAAGAAUUUGCGACUAUCUUAUCUACAUGGGGAAUGAAUGAAAGUUUGGAAUCCAUUACCACACCCAAGUCCCUAAUUUCACUAACGCGAUCCAGAUCGUGGCCACAAAUUUUAUAUGGGUAUACUAUUGGAUUUUUUGAUCUUGUAAAAGAAAUUACGAAACAUUUAUUUAAAUUCAAAAAUAAAUUGCUACUAUUACAAAACUCAACAAAAUCAUUUAGAUCACUUUGUAGUAACGCAGAAUCAUUCAUGUCUUUAAUAAUUUUGUAUAUCUUUGUAUCAUCUGCGUAUAGUAACACAUUUGAGUGAUUAAUGGAUUUUGUCAAGUCGUUAACGUAAAUAAUAAAUAAUAACGGUCCUAAAUGAGAUCCUUGGGGUACCCCAGAGGGAAUAUUUUUAUAUGCAGAACGGUAACCACACAGUACAACAGCUUGACUACGGUUCCCUAUGUAUGAACGUAUCCAACGAAACAAGUCACCAUGGAUUCCGAGUUGCCAGAGCUUGAAAAGUAGUGUAUCAUGACAAAUUUUGUCAAACGCUUUUGCAAAAUCUGUGUAUAUAGCAUCGACUUGAGUAUUUUCAUCCAUUGCUGACAAUAUAAGCUCUGUAAAUGUUAUCAAAUUGCUUUCGACACCACGUUUCUUACAAAAACCGUGCUGGUUCGGGACAAUGACGCGCUGUACAACCUCAAAUAGUUGAUCAGUAACAAUCUUUUCUUGUAUCUUUGCAAACUGACAUAAUUUGGAAAUAGGCCGAUAAUUUGUGACUUCCUCGCAUGCCUUACCUUUAGGAAUAGGUGUUAUCCAAGCACACUUCCAAACUUGUGGUACGUAACCAUUGUCAAAAGACAAUCUGAAAAUAUAAGUUAGUGGAAAACUUAAAGUAUCCGCACACCUGCGAAUAAACAGAGGAUGUAUGCCAUCCGGCCCAGCACCCUUAAUAACGUC